rnacentral:rRNA from 1 species
CUGGCUCAGGAUGAACGCUGGCGGCGUGCUUAACACAUGCAAGUCGAACGGAGUUUAGAGAGCUUGCUCUUAAACUUAGUGGCGGACGGGUGAGUAACGCGUGGGCAACCUGCCUUUCACUGGGGGAUAACAGUUAGAAAUGACUGCUAAUACCGCAUAAGCGCACAGGAUCGCAUGAUCUAGUGUGAAAAACUCCGGUGGUGAAAGGUGGACCCGCGUCUGAUUAGCCAGUUGGCAGGGUAACGGCCUACCAAAGCGACGAUCAGUAGCCGGCCUGAGAGGGUGAACGGCCACAUUGGGACUGAGACACGGCCCAAACUCCUACGGGAGGCAGCAGUGGGGAAUAUUGCACAAUGGGGGAAACCCUGAUGCAGCGACGCCGCGUGAGUGAAGAAGUAUUUCGGUAUGUAAAGCUCUAUCAGCAGGGAAGAAAAUGACGGUACCUGACUAAGAAGCCCCGGCUAACUACGUGCCAGCCGCCGC